CUGGGCGUUUUCGGUGGCUGUUGACGAAGUUCCGGUUGAUUAGCGGUGACCCACGACUCUUAGCACUUAGUAUUGGUGGCCCGUGCUCCUUGGGUAGUGGCCAGCAACGUUGGAGGUGGUUUUCGGAUGACUUUUCCUGCUGUAAAAACGCAAACAGCUUAGAUUUCUGCGUUCGACAACUACCCACGCCUAUCCGAAACAGAUCUAAGUCAUUUACACCUAAACAAAGUCGAUCUCGUGGUGUUGACAACACGCAAGGACUAGGAGCGUGGUAGUGAGUAAGUAGUAAUAGGGGCGGGUGUGUGCGUUUAUGAACUGUUGGAAAUGUCUUUUGGUUAUUGGAUUAUCUAAAAUGCAUAUUUCAUGUCGUUAUGAAUGUUAUGAAAUUGGCCAUUCGUGCUAGAAUUACAUUGUGGGAGUAGGUUGAAUGAAAUUGUUUAGUUUUCUUUUGUCAGAAUAGUUACCUGUUGAAAGGGUCUAUUUAAAGGCGGUGCGAGUUAUAUCUA